rnacentral:rRNA from 1 species
UACGGGGGGGGCAAGCGUUGUCCGGAAUUAUUGGGCGUAAAGAGCUCGUAGGCGGUUUGUCGCGUCUGCUGUGAAAACUGGAGGCUCAACCUCCAGCCUGCAGUGGGUACGGGCAGACUAGAGUGCGGUAGGGGAGAUUGGAAUUCCUGGUGUAGCGGUGGAAUGCGCAGAUAUCAGGAGGAACACCAAUGGCGAAGGCAGGUCUCUGGGCCGAUACUGACGCUGAGGAGCGAAAGCGUGGGGAGCGAACAGG